CAGAGAAUAGUUUAUUAAAAUUUUAAUUUUGGAGAUUAAAGAUAAGGAGUUUCCUUUUCUCUGA
rnacentral:tRNA from 1 species